rnacentral:rRNA from 1 species
AUCCAUUACUUUUCUUUUUUUUCCCCUCUGAUCUCAGAAGUUAAGUAGGGUCGGGCCUGGUUAGUACUUGGAUGAGAGACUGCCUGGAAAUACUAGGUGCUGUAGAUU